rnacentral:rRNA from 1 species
UACGUAGGGUGCGAGCGUUGUCCGGAAUUAUUGGGCGUAAAGGGCUCGUAGGCGGUUUGUCGCGUCGGGAGUGAAAACCUCGGGCUUAACUCGGGGCUUGCUUUCGAUACGGGCAGACUGGAGGUAUGCAGGGGAGAACGGAAUUCCUGGUGUAGCGGUGAAAUGCGUAGAUAUCUGGAGGAAUACCGGUGGCGAAGGCGGCAUCCUGGACCAUUACUGACGCUGAUGCGCGAAAGCUAGGGGAGCAAACGGG